CGCGUGUAGCAAUACACGAGUGGCGCACGGGUGAGUAACGCGUGGAUAUCUGCCUUUUGGUUCGGAAUAACCCCGGGAAACUGGGGCUAAUACCGGAUGGUUCCUUCGGGAUAAAGAUUUAUCGCCAAAAGAUGAGUCCGCGUACGAUUAGCUAGUUGGUGAGGUAAUGGCUCACCAAGGCGACGAUCGUUAGCUGGUCUGAGAGGACGAUCAGCCACACUGGGACUGAGACACGGCCCAGACUCCCUACGGGAGGCAGCAGUGGGGAAUAUUGGACAAUGGGCGCAAGCCCUGAUCCAGCCAUGCCCGCGUGAGUGAUGAAGGCCUUCGGGUUGUAAAGCUCUUUUGGCGGGGACGAUGAUGACGGUACCCGCAGAAUAAGCCCCGGCUAACUUCGUGCCAGCAGCCGCGGUAAGACGAAGGGGGCUAGCGUUGUUCGGAAUUACUGGGCGUAAAGCGAGUGUAGGUGGUUAUCCAAGUUGGAUGUGAAAGCCUUGAGCUCAACUCAAGAAAUGCAUUCAGGACUGGAUGGCUAGAGGACCGGAGAGGAUAGUGGAAUUCUCAGUGUAGUGGUGAAAUACGUAGAGAUU
rnacentral:rRNA from 1 species